rnacentral:rRNA from 1 species
GUACUCUCCUACGGGAGGCAGCAGUGGGGAAUAUUGGACAAUGGGCGCAAGCCUGAUCCAGCCAUGCCGCGUGAGUGAUGAAGGCCCUAGGGUUGUAAAGCUCUUUCACCGGAGAAGAUAAUGACGGUAUCCGGAGAAGAAGCCCCGGCUAACUUCGUGCCAGCAGCCGCGGUAAUACGAAGGGGGCUAGCGUUGUUCGGAAUUACUGGGCGUAAAGCGCACGUAGGCGGAUCGAUCAGUCAGGGGUGAAAUCCCAGGGCUCAACCCUGGAACUGCCUUUGAUACUGUCGAUCUGGAGUAUGGAAGAGGUGAGUGGAAUUCCGAGUGUAGAGGUGAAAUUCGUAGAUAUUCGGAGGAACACCAGUGGCGAAGGCGGCUCACUGGUCCAUUACUGACGCUGAGGUGCGAAAGCGUGGGGAGCAAACAGGAUUAGAAACCCUUGUAGUCCC